rnacentral:rRNA from 1 species
UACGUAGGGUGCGAGCGUUGUCCGGAAUUACUGGGCGUAAAGAGCUCGUAGGUGGUUUGUCGCGUUGUUCGUGAAAACUCACAGCUUAACUGUGGGCGUGCGGGCGAUACGGGCAGACUGGAGUACUGCAGGGGAGACUGGAAUUCCUGGUGUAGCGGUGGAAUGCGCAGAUAUCAGGAGGAACACCCGUAGCGAAGGCGGCACUCUGGGCCGAUACUGACACUGAGGAGCGAAAGCGUGGGGAGCGAACAGG